UCCCAAAUAGUCUAGGCGGUUAGGAUACGUGGUUUUCACCCACGCGACCCGGGUUCAGGUCCCGGUUUGGGAA
rnacentral:tRNA from 1 species